rnacentral:siRNA from 1 species
CGAUUUUUAGGGUUAACGG